GUGACGGUGCGCGGGCCUACAAUGCAGUCGAACGCUUUUUCUUUCCCGUUGCUUGCUCCCUCAAAAGAGGCGGAGUGGUGACGGGUGAGUAACACGUGGGUAACCUGCCCAGCAUAAGGGGAUAACACUUGGAAACAGGUGCUAAUACCGUAUAACAAUCGAAACCGGAUGGUUUCGGUUUGAAGGGCGCUUUUGCGUCCCUGAUGGAUGGACCCGCGGUGCAUUAGCUAGUUGGUGAGGUAACGGCUCACCAAGGCAACGAUGCAUAGCCGACCUGAGAGGGUGAUCGGCCACAUUGGGACUGAGACACGGCCCAAACUCCUACGGGAGGCAGCAGUAGGGAAUCUUCGGCAAUGGACGCAAGUCUGACCGAGCAACGCCGCGUGAGUGAAGAAGGUUUUCGGAUCGUAAAACUCUGUUGUUAGAGAAAAACAAGGAUGAGAGUAAAAUGUUCAUCCCUUGACGGUAUCUAACCAGAAAGCCACGGCUAACUACGUGCCAGCAGCCGCGGUAAUACGUAGGUGGCAAGCGUUGUCCGGAUUUAUUGGGCGUAAAGCGAGCGCAGGCGGUUUCUUAAGUCUGAUGUGAAAGCCCCCGGCUCAACCGGGGAGGGUCAUUGGAAACUGGGAAACUUGAGUGCAUAAGAGGAGAGUGGAAUUCCAUGUGUAGCGGUGAAAUGCUACAUAUAUGGAGGAACACCCGUGGCGAAAGCAGCUCUCUGGUCUGUAAAUGACUGUGAGGCUCGAAAGCAUUAGGAGCCAACAGGAUUACAUACCCUGGUAAUUCCCACCUGUAAACAAUGACUCUAAGUGUUUGAGGGUUUCCGCCCCUCAUUCU
rnacentral:rRNA from 1 species